CCUACGGGUGGCAGCAGUGGGGAAUAUUGGACAAUGGGCGAAAGCCUGAUCCAGCCAUGCCGCGUGUGUGAAGAAGGCCUUCGGGUUGUAAAGCACUUUCAGUGGGGAAGAAAGCCUUGGGGCUAAUACCCUCGAGGAAGGACAUCACCCACAGAAGAAGCACCGGCUAACUCCGUGCCAGCAGCCGCGGUAAUACGGAGGGUGCGAGCGUUAAUCGGAAUUACUGGGCGUAAAGCGCGCGUAGGCGGUCUGAUAAGCCGGUUGUGAAAGCCCCGGGCUCAACCUGGGAACGGCAUCCGGAACUGUCAGGCUAGAGUGCAGGAGAGGAAGGUAGAAUUCCCGGUGUAGCGGUGAAAUGCGUAGAGAUCGGGAGGAAUACCAGUGGCGAAGGCGGCCUUCUGGACUGACACUGACGCUGAGGUGCGAAAGCGUGGGUAGCAAACAGGAUUAGAUCCCUUGUAGUC
rnacentral:rRNA from 1 species